CAGAUGGCUCUCAGCAGGUGGGUGUGGAAGAGAAGGGCAUGCCGGUAGAGGGAGUGCUGAGCCCGCAGCAGGUUCCGGGUUUUGCUGGAGCCCAGAGCCUAAGAAGGAAGCUGUGAAAGAUCAGGCAGAGAGGAGGCUCUUCUUUGCAUCUUGCCUUGGUUCAUUCUGGAACCAAAUUCUCCAGGACUCAGAGGAUGGGUGCAUAGAGCGGAUAGGGGGCUGGCCCUUUCUGUCCUCUCUACAGAAGAAAACAACAUUACAAAGGCAAAAUGCAUGCAAGAGGUUCGCUUGGGAUCACAAGUUCAAGACCAGCCUGGGCAACAUAAUAAGAACCUGUCUCUGCAAAAGAAAUCAUCCAUCAAAAUAUUAUCUGGGCAUGGUGGUGCCUGCCUGCAGUCCUGCUACUCGGAAGUCUGAAGUGGGAGGAUCGCUUGAGCCCAAAACUUCGAGGUGCAGUG